AGAAACGGCAGCCGUUCAACAAACAGAAGUUGAUAGAGGAGUGACCUCACUAGAUACAUAUGCUUCUAGUCGAACCCUCCCUGCAGAGGAGAAUGGGAUUGAGCAUCUCCAGAUGGAGGCAGGGCAGCAGAGGGAGCAUCAAGGAGCCAAUUUUAGGACGCUGGAGUCCAGACAAAGGAGAGGUGUCUGGUGGAUGAGGAAGCACGCAAACGCAGUGGAAGCCAGUGCCUAUAGAAUAGCAGGGCUGGGGGAGCCUCUGACGGGCUGGAAGAAGCGCGGGAAAGGAGAGGAGACCAGCACCCUCAUGACUGAACUGAAGGAGCUCCAUGAUGAGAAACAACGACUGAUGGAUCAAGGGA